rnacentral:hammerhead_ribozyme from 1 species
AUCCAGCUGACGAAUGCUGAAUAGGACGUAACGCGCGUCCUAAAU